AGAGUUUGAUCAUGGCUCAGAACGAACGUUGGCGGCGUGGAUUAGGCAUGCAAGUCGAACGAAUCCCAGGGGGGUAACUCUCUGGGGGAAGUGGCGAAAGGGGCAGUAAAGCGUGGGUAACGUACCCCGGGAUCGGGAUAGCCUCUCUAACGAGAGGGUAAUACCGGGCGAUCAGCCGAGGGGCAUCUCUUGGCUGGGAGAUGAAUUUCGCCUCGGGAGCGGCUCACGUGCUAUUACCUAGUUGGCGGGGUGACGGCCCACCAAGGGGAAGAUGGCUAGCAGGUGUGAGAGCACGACCUGCGCCACUGGCACUGAGACACUGGCCAGACUCCUACGGGAGGCUGCAGUCGAGGAUCUUCGGCAAUGGGCGCAAGCCUGACCGAGCGACGCCGCGUGCGCGAUGAAGGCCUUCGGGUUGUAAAGCGCUGUCGAGGGGGAGGAAGCCGCAAGGUUGACAUCCCUGGAGGAAGCACGGCUAGUCGUGCAGCAGCCGCGGUAAGAC
rnacentral:rRNA from 1 species